GUUAAAAAAUUUAUUUUGAAUAUAAUUUAGAUAAUUUUAAUAAAAAUAAUUUUGGUUUUAUUAAUUUUGUGAAUCAAUUAAUUUAAUUAUAGUUUAUUAGUACUGUGGAGGAAAGUUUAAGGAAAAUUUUUCAAAUAAAAAUAAGAAUGAUUAUUUUUCAGUACCUUGUGUAUCAGGGUUUAAUUAAUAAAAGUUAAUUAUUUAUUUUUCCCGAAUUAAAUAGAGCUAAUAAAUUAUAGAUUUUACUGUUAAAUAAGUAUUUAAAAUAAUUUUUUUGAAAUGAAACGUUAUUCGUUAUUUAAUAUAUCUGGUUUUCUAAGAAAUGAAUUUAAUUCUUUUAUAUAAUUUUAUUUUUCUUAUGAUUGAUUAAUAAUUAAAUAUGAAAUAUAUUUAAUGGGAUAAGCUUUUAAAUAGAUUAUUAAAAAUUUUUUAUUUUAUAUAUAAAUUGUAGAAUUAGAAGUAUUCAUCAAUUAUGAGUGUGUUAAAAUUCAUUUAUAUAAAAUUUAAUUUUUAAAUUUUUAAUUUUUUUAUUAGAAUAUAAAUAAAAUUUUAUUAUUUUAGAAAUAAUGUUAAAAUUAGUAUAAUAAAUAGUAAUAAUUUUAAAGUUGUUAGGUAAUAAUAAGGAAUUCGGCAAAAAUGUUUUUCGCCUGUUUAAUAAAAACAUCGCCUUUAGAUUAUAAUUUAAGGUUUGACCUGCCCAAUGAGUGAUUUAAUGGCCGCGAUAUUCUGAUCGUGCGAAGGUAGCAUAAUCAUUAGUUUUUUAAUUGAAAGCUAGAAUGAAUGGUUGGACGAGAAAGCUUCUGUCUCAUUAUUAUUAAGUUAGAAUUUUAUUUUUGAGUUAAAAAGCUUAAAUUUUUCUUAAAGACGAGAAGACCCUGUAGAGUUUUAUAUAUAAAUUUUAUAUUAUUAUAUGGAAUGUAUUAAUAUUUAAAAAUAGUAUAUUUGGUUGGGGUGACGGAAAAAUUGAUUAAACUUUUAUUAAAAUUAAAUAUUUAUUUAUAGAUUUUUGAUCCUAAAAAUAGAUUAAAAGAAUAAAUUACCUUAGGGAUAACAGCGUAAUUUUUUCUUAGAGUUCUUAUCGAUGAAAAAGAUUGCGACCUCGAUGUUGGAUUAAAGUUAAAUUUUGGUGUAGAAGCUAGAAAUAUUUAGUCUGUUCGACUAUUAAAACUUUACAUGAUCUGAGUUUAAACCGGUGUAAGCCAGGUUGGUUUCUAUCUUGAGUAGAAUAAAAUAUUUUAGUACGAAAGGACCAAAUAUUUGAUAAAUUAUCUUAUCUAGAAUAAUAUUAA
rnacentral:rRNA from 1 species